GCGGAAGUGGCGGAAUUGGUAGACGCACCAGAUUUAGGUUCUGGCGCCGCAAGGUGUGAGAGUUCAAUUUUCUCCUUCCGCACCA
rnacentral:tRNA from 1 species